rnacentral:snRNA from 1 species
AUACUCUGGUUUUUUUUCAGAUUGUAUAAAUUUUUUGCUUUUUACUAAAGAUUUCUGUGGAGAGGAAUAGUUAUGAGUUUGUACCCAAUUUUUUGAGGCUUUGCUUCAGCAGGGUU